rnacentral:rRNA from 1 species
GGGGCCCGAACAUUCGUAUCUGCAGUCGAACGAGCUCUCCCAAAUUGAUUUUAUGCUUGCAUAAAUGAUUUUUGGAUUCGGAGCGAGUGGCGAACUGGUGAGUAACACGUGGGUAACCUGCCCCGAAGCGGGGGAUAACAUUUGGAAACAAGUGCUAAUACCGCAUAAUUAGUUGGGAACGCGCAUGGUUCCAACUUGAAAGAUGGCUCUGCUAUCACUUUGGGAUGGACCGCGCGCCGUAUUAGUUAGUUGGUGAGAUAAAAGCCCACCAAGACGAUGAUAACGUAGCCGACCUGAGAGGGUAAUCGGCCACAUUGGGACUGAGACACGGCCCAGACUCCUACGGGAGGCAGCAGUAGGGAAUCUUCCACAAUGGACGAAAGUCUGAUGGAGCAACGCCGCCGUGAGUGAUGAAGGUUUUCGGAUCGUAAAACUCUGUUGUUAAAGAAGAACAAGUGUUAGAGUAACUGUUAACACUUUGACGGUAUUUAACCAGAAAGCCACGGCUAACUACGUGCCAGCAGCCGCGGUAAUACGUAGGUGGCAAGCGUUGUCCGGAUUUAUUGGGCGUAAAGCGAGCGCAGGCGGUUUUGUAAGUCUGCUGUGAAAGCCCUCAGCUCAACUGAGGAAGUGCAGUGGAAACUACAAAACUUGAGUACAGAAGAGGAAAGUGGAACUCCAUGUGUAGCGGUGAAAUGCGUAGAUAUAUGGAAGAACACCAGUGGCGAAGGCGGCUUUCUGGUCUGUUACUGACGCUGAGGCUCGAAAGCAUGGGUAGCGAACAGGAUUAGAUACCCUGGUAGUCCAUGCCGUAAACGAUGAAUACUAGGUGUUGGAGGGUUUCCGCCCUUCAGUGCCGCAGCUAACGCAUUAAGUAUUCCGCCUGGGGAGUACGACCGCAAGGUUGAAACUCAAAGGGAAUUGACGGGGGCCCGCACAAGUGGUGGAGCAUGUGGUUUAUUUCGAUGCUACGCGAAGAACCCUUACCAGCUCUUUGACAUCUUUCUGCCAACCCAAGAGAUUGGGGCGUUCCCUUCCGGGGACAGAAUGACAGGUGGUGCAAUGGAUUGUCGUCAGCUUCGUGUCGUGAGAUGUUGGGGUUAAAGUCCCCGGCAACCGAGCGCAACCCUUAUUAUUAGUUUGCCAGCCAUUUAGUUGGCCACCUCUAGUGAGACUGGCCUGGUGAAUUACCCGCGAGUAAGGGUUGAGAUGAACACAAACACGCAUGCCCCUUAUGAGCUGGGCUACACACGUGCUACAAUGGAUGGUACAACGAGUCGCGAAACCGCGAGGUCAAGCUAAUCUCUUAAAGCCAUUCUCAGUUCGGAUUGCAGGCUGCAACUCGCCUGCAUGAAGUUGGAAUGCACUAGUAAUCGUGGAUCAUGCAUGCUAUUCUUGAUUUGUU